UACAGAGGGUGCAAGCGUUAAUCGGAAUUACUGGGCGUAAAGCGUGCGCAGACGGUUGCGUAAGUCAGAUGUGAAAGCCCCGGGCUCAACCUGGGAAUUGCAUUUGAGACUGCGUAGCUAGGGUGCGGAAGAGGGAAGCGGAAUUUCCGGUGUAGCGGUGAAAUGCGUAGAUAUCGGAAGGAACACCAGUGGCGAAAGCGGCUUCCUGGUCCAGCACCGACGUUCAGGCACGAAAUCGUGGGGAGCAAACAGG
rnacentral:rRNA from 1 species